rnacentral:lncRNA from 1 species
UCCAAUCAUCGACCACAAUUUUCGGUUAGUGAAUUGAUCAGUCAUAAGAGGGGCACAGAGCAACGGAACGCCACACCAUACACUUUCCAAAAUUGAAUUCCACCCACAAUGCGUUAAGAAUCCCCCAAUUGCUGGAUGAGAGAUCACAUCAAUCUGAGAGCACCAAGGCACGAUCACCCCUCGAUCUUUGACCUUUUCUUCGAAUCCAACUGGCAAGAAAUCGGUAUCAUCGGAGCUCACUAUAUCCGGCCGGAGCACCCAAACAAAACCCACCCCACUAAGCAAAAGCCCAUGGGCUAUCUCCACAAUGUCCUGCUGGCUAGUGUGGGCAAGGCUACCAAAUGACACAUACAAAACCAAUCCAUUGGGCCUAGUAUUAAGCCAGUGGGUGCAGUCUGACUCGGACCAUAGGCUCGUGGGCACGGUGCUCUUGGUGAACCCAAUAGGAAAAAUUGGCCCAAUUGCAUAAGUUGGCUGCUUUUGAUGUAAGGCUGAGAUUGUCUCUACUCUCUAGCUCAAGUUCUUGGACCGUGUUGCAGACAAUAACAUCUGCUCUCUUUACGUCAUCAAAUGCCUUGUAGAUUAUCCGGUGUACCACGGUCCAUAUAUCCGUAUCCUGUAGAUACGACAUCAGCCGUUGUAUCAAUCUUAUAUUUGUGUGGUUUGUAAUUAUCAUGAUUAUGAGAUGUUAACAUUCUUUAAUGGAGUGGUUGUAAAUUUUUUUUUAUAUUCUCAAUUUUAUUUAGAGUGAGGUUGGAGUAUUAUUGUGUGGAUUAGGCUAUAUUUUCAGUUGCGUAGAUUUUUCUUAUAAUAGUUUGAUAGAUUUUAUUUAUGAUACUGGUUGUAGUUGAUCACGUCACUUUGUGUGAGUUCGGGCCUACCACAGUAGAUGUGACACUAACACCUUGCCACUAAUAACUAUAACCCCUGAAUCCAUCUUUGGGGAUGAAAGACUGUGCCUAUUCACAGAGUCAAUAUAUUAUAUAAUUUUUUGGGAGUUAGAACUAGGUGACAACUUCAAUUGGACCUCAUGUCUAUGAUCUUAGCCGCCUUGCCAAACGGGAAUUGACAAAAAAUGCUAAAUAAUUAUAAAUCGUUGGUCUUACAAAUUGGCAUUAUAAAUGUUAUAUGCAAAAUGAAUGUAUAUGAGCGGAAUCAAUUUUUCUGUUCAAGUACAUUUUUUAUAGAAAAUAAAAAAAAAUACUUUUGAGUCAUGGUGCUUACACAAGGCAUAUAAUAAUCCAACUCCAAUAGAAAACAACAAAUGUAAAUUUGGUAGUGGAUGCAUGAGCAUUAUUGCAAAGGGACAUUUGAGAGUUCAAAGAAGAGGGCUCAACGAUGUAACCUUUCAUGUUUAAUAGCGCAUCAAUGAGGAGGGCCCAACCUAAGCCCAUUAGCUCACAUAAUCACCAAUUCACCAUUAUUACACAAAGCCAAAGAAUUGCAUGCAACCUUUUUUUUACCACAUUAGGUCACCAUGGCAAUCCCAUUUCACUUGUUCACUUUGACCCUCACAUCCUCUAUGAAUUGAUUGAAAUUUCUUUGGGACGAUCCGUCGGUGGCCAAUGCAUCCUCUAGGGUUUUUCUCACUUUCCUGAUCUCCUUCCUUAACUCGUUUGAUGUUUUUUCGCACAUUAUACAGUUGAUUUUAUUUGAGACUUCCUCUCUUGUGAUCGGCCUUUUGUCACACAAAUUGAGCCCCACCUUCCAAUCAUCGACCACUAAUUUUCGGUUAGUGAAUUGAUCGGUCAACAAAGGGAUACAGAGCAACGGAACGCCACACCAUAUGCUUUCCAAAAUCGAAUUCCACCCACAAUGCGUUAAGAACCCCCCAAUCGCUGGAUGAGAGAUCACAUCGAUCUGAGAGCACCAAGGCACGAUCACCCCUCGAUCUUUGACAUUUUCUUCGAAUCCAACGGGCAAGAAAUUGGUAUCAUUGGAGCUCACAAUAUCGGGCCGGAGCACCCAAACAAAACCCACCCCCCAGAGCAAGCCCUGGCUAUCUUCACAUGUCCUGCUGGCUAGUGUGGGCAUAGCUACCAAAUGACACAUACAAAACCGACCCAUUGGGCCUAGUAUUAAGCCAGUGGGUGCAGUCUGACUCGGACCAUAGGCUCGUGGGCACGGUGCUCUUGGUGAACCCAAUAGGAAAAAUUG